rnacentral:ncRNA from 2 species
AGGUAUCUUCGGGGCAGGUGAAAUUCCUGACCGGCGGUUAAAGCCCGCGACUCUGCAUAGUUUUUAUGUGGACUGAUUUGGUGAAAAUCCAAAGCCGACGGUAUAGUCCGGAUGGGAGAAGAUCAAA